AGCCCUAAGCGGGUGGUAAACUCCAUCUAAGGCUAAAUAUGACCACGAGACCGAUAGCGAACAAGUACCGUGAGGGAAAGUUGAAAAGCACUUUGAAGAGAGAGUUCAAGAGUACGUGAAACCGUUUAGGGGUAAACCUGAGAAACCCGAAAGGUCGAAGGGAGAAAUUCAUUCGCGUCUCGCCGUCGGCGUGAAAUAGUCGUGCGACGAAAGACGUUCGCGUCUUUCGCGCCUUCCGUUUUUCGUUCCGAUGGCGAACGCGUGCACUUUUCUCCUGGUAGGACGUCGCGAUCCGUUGGGUGUCGGUCUACGGCUCGCGGUGGAGCCCGGAUGUGUUCGUCACGUCCGGACCCGCGUGUCCCGGCCGACUCGCUCGACGGUAUACGAAAGGUUUAAGGCCGCUCUCGGAGCGUUCGGCUCGUCGCAAGCGCGUCAGAUGUUUGUCGGUAAUCGGACCUGGUGCCGGUUCUGACCUCUGGCGACUGUUGGCGACGAAGUUCUCGAACAGACCUAGGACCGAUCUGCGACGCUAUAGCUUUGGGUACUUUCAG
rnacentral:rRNA from 1 species